UUUUUUUUUUUAUCGUGUUAAAACAACAUAUCCCUGGUGGAUUUCCUCAAAGCUACAACUUACAUAAUUGCAGUCAUUUUCCUCCAAACUGAAAACCAAACCAAAAGGAAGAGGGCAAGACAGAAGAGUUGAGCUUGUUACUGUGUGGAAAAGUCUUGUUAAAUUAAUUGUGCUUCAGCCUUCGCUGCCUGCAGGCAGCGCUUAUACGAUGUGUUAAUAUAAUACAGAGUCAAUUCUGAUUAAACAACUUGUCAAUAGUCAGCAAUGUUUGUUGUCAGUCUUAAUGGCCGUUUUAUCUGGUCUAUUUGCAUGCCUUCUAGUUUACAGCGUUGUGUAAAUAUACACAAAAAUGAUCACAAUGAGGUUCAGAAUUGUCCCAAUAAUUCCAAGCAUUGCCAAGAUGGUUUCUUCUUUGCUUUCCUUUUCUUGACUGCCUUUAUCUUCUUCAUUUCCACUAGUGAUUACCAUCUUGGUGGCCAGUUUCUUUAUCCUCCCCUUCAGGAUAACCUAGAUUGCAUCAGGAAGACAUGAGAAGCACAUAGCAUGCUGCAGAGAUUAAGCUCAGCAUGGCAUUCAGAUAUCCUCUGGAAUUGAAGAAAAUUGUCCAACCCAUUCUUCCUAACAAAGCAGACAAGUUUUCUCUAGGCUUGAAUUUUUCACCAGAAGUCAGAUCCUUACAGUGCAUUAUAUUUUCUUCUUCAGGAGAUAUAUUUCCUCCAGUUAAGUCUCAGCUCCGCAAUGCCAUUUCCAAUCAGCUCUAAGAAGUUCUUCAUUCUCAGAUUCGUGGCUGUACCUGGGCCAGGGGGGCACGGGAAACCCCCCCAGGCAUGGUGAGAUGCAGGUGAACAAGGGUGAUGCAGCUUCCUUCUGAAAAGUGAAGCUCAGUUAACCCUCUGGGUUCUCCAGGUACGCUGCAAAGAUGUCAUCAAAAUAACAAGCAACUCUCAUGGCUAUGACAACUCAUGGGUUCAAAGUGAUUUUCCAGUUGAAGCUGCAGCCACUUAAGCUCUGUCCACAAAUGUUGAAUCAUUUAACGGUUUAAAGCAGAGGUUCACCCAAGUGGUGGUCCAUAGACUCCUGUCAGUGGUCUGCAGCUGAAGGUUUAUAGCAGUCUGGUUACAUGACCUGUUUUGUUCAGAGCUUUCUCCACAGGUAGUUUGCUUAGCUGUACACCAAAUCCUUAUUGGUGACUCCCUUUUGAUUGUGAUCUUGGCACUAGAAACAAGAAACACGUGUACGUGGGGACAGGCCGCCGCAGAGGAUGGCAGAGGGAAGCUGGCAGGCGGUGGGUCCCCGAGGAGCCCCCGCAGCGGGUGGGCGCGCUGCUCCCACCGUUUGCAGCGAUGCAGCAGGCACCGGGCUACCGCCGGGCUUUGGCACGUCGCUCUCAGGCGGUUGCUCGGGUGAGGGCAGUGAGCUGUGAAGCUGCUCCCCGCCUCGGCGUUACCAUCUCACCAGCCACGCAGUCCGCGGGAAAAACAUCGCCUUCAAGCACUAGCGUCAUCUCCAUUGAGGAUGUAGGGCUGUCUGUCUGGGAGCAGCAUUACGUACCACACGGGGAUACGCGCCGGGUUCAACACUGACACCUUCUUCUCUCAGAGGGAAACGAGGACCCCAAUGAAUAACAUGCAACACAGAUGGAAAACAGGGAGGACCGCAUUAAAAGAUGCUUC
rnacentral:lncRNA from 1 species